AGCUGUAAGUGAGCGUUGAUCCGGGGAUGUCCGAAUGGGGGAACCCGCCAGCUUGAAGAGCUGGCACCGCCAUCUGAAUCCAUAGGAUGGACGGGGGCAUACCAGGGGAACUGAAACAUCUUAGUACCCUGAGGAAGAGAAAGCAAACGCGAUUCCCUGAGUAGCGGCGAGCGAAACGGGAACAGCCCAAACCGGCUGGCUUUGCCAACCGGGGUUGUAGGACGUCUCACACGGAGUUACAAAGGUGACGGAUAGAUGAAGUGGUUCUGGAAAGACCCGCCAAAGAAGGUAACAGCCCUGUAAUCGAAAUCGGUCACCCUCCGAGACGGAUCCUGAGUACCGCGGGACACGUGAAACCCCGUGGGAAGCAGGGAGGACCACCUCCCAAGGCUAAAUACUCCCUGGCGACCGAUAGUGAACCAGUACCGUGAGGGAAAGGUGAAAAGCACCCCGGGAGGGGAGUGAAAGAGAACCUGAAACCGUGUGCUUACAAUCAGUCGGAGUCCUUUUAAAGGGAUGACGGCGUGCCUUUUGUAGAAUGAACCGGCGAGUGACGGUUACGUGCGAGGUUAAGGUGAGAAGCCGGAGCCGCAGCGAAAGCGAGUCUGAACAGGGCGAAUGAGUACGUGGCCGUCGACCCGAAACCGGGUGAUCUACCCAUGUCCAGGGUGAAGUUCCGGUAACACGGAAUGGAGGCCCGAACCUGUUGGUGUUGAAAAACCAUAGGAUGAGGUGUGGGUAGGGGUGAAAUGCCAAUCGAAC
rnacentral:rRNA from 1 species